GGGUCCAUUUCUGCUCCCCAGUUGGAUUGCCUUUUGCAUGUGUUGAAACAUCGAAUCUUGGAGGUGGAGGUGAAAUUGAGAGGUUGAGCGGCGUCGUUUUGAUGACGAUUCCCUGGCUAAAGAAGACUGUUCUCGGAGAAAGAGUGGUCGGUUUUGUAGAGUACGGAGAAGAGAACCCGGGUGCGGCGAGGAUGUUGACUUGGGCGGUGGUGGAGGUCAUCUUCUUGAGAGGCAAAUCGGAAGGUAAAAUUGGAGGGAACGAGAGCUGGGGAAGGAGGAGACACCCAGGCUUUGGAAGAGGAGCGAUGUGUGGUGGAAAGAGGGAGGAACUGAGCCUG
rnacentral:misc_RNA from 1 species